AUCCUCAUGGCCCAAUGGUUAAGGCGUUCGGCUACGAACCGAAAGAUUCCAGGUUCGAAUCCUGGUGGGGAUG